rnacentral:lncRNA from 1 species
GAGAAGAGCGGGAGGAGGUGGCGGCCUUGGGAAGAUGCUGGAGACCUAGGCUCGCCACGCCAGGCCCGACCUGAGUAGUGAGUGGAGAAAGAGGGUGGGAGGCGAGGUCGAUGUAUGUGACCGGAGCGGACCGUGCAGAUUGCGAGCCGGCCUAAAAGGCUGCUCUUUGGCGUAAAUUGCAAUCGAUUAGGGAUCGUUUCUCAGACUCAAGUUAGAAGUGAGAGUUCAGAUAAGUGAGGCCGACAUUGCUGCCUUGAAGAAGGGGAGAAUGGAUUUAUCAGGAGUGAAAAAGAAGAGCUUGCUAGGAGUCAAAGAGAAUAAUAAAAAGUCCAGCACUAGGGCUCCUUCUCCUACCAAACGAAAGGACCGCUCUGAUGAGAAGUCCAAGGAUCGAUCUAAAGAUAAAGGGACCACUAAAGAGUCCAGUGAGAAGGAUCGUGGCAGAGAUAAGACCCGGAAGAGACGCAGUGCUUCAAGCGGAAGCAGCAGCACCAGGUCCAGGUCCAGCUCAACCUCCAGCUCGGGCUCCAGCACCAGCACGGGCUCGAGCAGUGGCUCUAGCUCGUCUUCUGCGUCCAGCCGCUCAGGAAGCUCCAGCACAUCCCGGAGCUCCAGUUCCAGCAGCUCCUCCGGCUCCCCAAGCCCUUCUCGGCGCAGACAUGACAACAGGCGGCGUUCCCGCUCCAAAUCCAAACCACCUAAAAGAGAUGAAAAAGAGAGGAAAAGGCGGAGCCCUUCACCUAAACCCACCAAAGUGCACAUUGGGAGGCUCACCAGGAAUGUGACCAAGGAUCAUAUCAUGGAAAUAUUUUCUACUUACGGGAAAAUUAAAAUGAUUGACAUGCCUGUGGAAAGGAUGCAUCCUCAUC